ensembl:snRNA U6 U6 spliceosomal RNA
GUGCUCCAUUUCAGUAGCAAGUAUACUAAAACUGAAAGGAUAAUGAAGGAGAUUAAUGUGGCCUUUGCUAAAGAAUGACAAGUAAUUUUAUGAAGUACUCCACAUUUUU